rnacentral:rRNA from 1 species
UGCGGAAGGAUCAUUAUUGAAUAAACCUGAUGUGAUUGUUAGCUGGCUUUUCGAAGCAUGUGCUCAUCCGUCAUCUUUAUCUCUCCACCUGUGCACAUUUUGUAGUCUUGGAUACCUCUCGAGGAAACUCGGAUUUUAGAAUCGCUGUGCUGUACAAGUCGGCUUUUCUUUCAUUUCCAAGACUAUGUUUUUAUAUACACCAAAGUAUGUUUAUAGAAUGUCAUCAAUGGGAACUUGUUUCCUAUAAAAUUAUACAACUUUCAGCAACGGAUCUCUUGGCUCUCGCAUCGAUGAAGAACGCAGCGAAAUGCGAUAAGUAAUGUGAAUUGCAGAAUUCAGUGAAUCAUCGAAUCUUUGAACGCACCUUGCGCUCCUUGGUAUUCCGAGGAGCAUGCCUGUUUGAGUGUCAUUAAAUUCUCAACCUUCCAACUUUUAUUAGCUUGGUUAGGCUUGGAUGUGGGGGUUGCGGGCUUCAUUAAUGAGGUCGGCUCUCCUUAAAUGCAUUAGCGGAACUUUUGUGACCGUCUAUUGGUGUGAUAAUUAUCUACGCCGUGGAUGUGAAGCAGCUUUAUGAAGUUCUGCUUCUAACCGUCCAUUGACUUGGACAAUUUUGAUAAUUUGACCUCAAAUCAGG